GAUGAACGCUGGCGGCGUGCUUAACACAUGCCAGUCGAACGGAAAGGCUCCUGCUUGCUGGGGUACUCGAGUGGCGAACGGGUGAGUAACACGUGGGUGAUCUGCCCUGCACUUCGGGAUAAGCCUGGGAAACUGGGUCUAAUACCGGAUAGGACCACAUUUUGGAUGGUGUGGUGGAAAGUGUUUCGGUGUGGGAUGAGCUCGCGGCCUAUCAGCUUGUUGGUGGGGUAAUGGCCUACCAAGGCGUCGACGGGUAGCCGGCCUGAGAGGGUGUACGGCCACAUUGGGACUGAGAUACGGCCCAGACUCCUACGGGAGGCAGCAGUGGGGAAUAUUGCACAAUGGGCGCAAGCCUGAUGCAGCGACGCCGCGUGGGGGAUGACGGCCUUCGGGUUGUAAACUCCUUUCGCUAGGGACGAAGCGCAAGUGACGGUACCUGGAGAAGAAGCACCGGCUAACUACGUG
rnacentral:rRNA from 1 species